rnacentral:rRNA from 1 species
GACGAACGCUGGCGGCGUGCUUAACACAUGCAAGUCGAACGGAAAGGCCCUGCUUUUGUGGGGUGCUCGAGUGGCGAACGGGUGAGUAACACGUGAGUAACCUGCCCUUGACUUUGGGAUAACUUCAGGAAACUGGGGCUAAUACCGGAUAGGAGCUCCUGCUGCAUGGUGGGGGUUGGAAAGUUUCGGCGGUUGGGGAUGGACUCGCGGCUUAUCAGCUUGUUGGUGGGGUAGUGGCUUACCAAGGCUUUGACGGGUAGCCGGCCUGAGAGGGUGACCGGCCACAUGGGGACUGAGAUACGGCCCAGACUCCUACGGGAGGCAGCAGUGGGGAAUAUUGCACAAUGGGCGGAAGCCGGAUGCAGCAACGCCGCGUGCGGGAGGACGGCCUUCGGGUUGUAAACCGCUUUCGCCUGUGACGAAGCGUGAGUGACGGUAAUGGGGAAAGAAGCACCGGCUAACUACGU